GUGUUAAUUGUUUUAUUUAUAUUUUUAUACACAGUAUGAUGUGAUGUCAGGACCAAUAAAAACAGAACACAAAGAAGAUAAAAAGAAAACAAACCAAGCCACAAAUUCAAGCCAAGAACUCGCAUCUGAAAUACCAGAAAGAAUACCAGAACUCAAAGAAGAUAAAAAGAAAACAAACCAAGCCACUAGUUCAAGCCAAGAACUCGCAUCAGAAAGAAUACCA